rnacentral:lncRNA from 9 species
CAAAGGUCCUAAGGUAAUGCAUUAGAGCCAUCACUUCACUGUGCCGUUUGCUGUAUGCAUACAUACUCUGUUGACACUGACUGACUAUCCCAAAUCAAAGGGUGGGAGAAAGGUUAAUGGGAAAAAAUUCACUCCUAAGCAGAGCUACUAAAUUAUACAGGAAGAAAGAGUCAAAAAAGUUUUCCUGAAACAGGCUUGUUUUCUGAAAUGGUGCCAUUUUUGAGGUCUGAUCUUUAGAGGAGAUGAGUUUGACAAAGCCCUUUUGGGACUUUACUAGUUCUCUUGGAUAGAUCUUUAAAAAAACAGAGAAUAUUUAAAUCUUAGGAUCCAAUAGGCACGAAUCCUUGCAUCCUGAUUGAACAUGGCAGCAUUCUCUUAUUUGAAGGGAGGAAACCCUGGCAUCUUCCUCUUAGUUUGUUUUACUCUCAGUUCUUCAAGAUUUUAGGAUUUCACAGAUUUCCUUGCCUUUAGGGUUAAUACAUGUUUUAUGAGAUAAGACUCUUCUGGUUUCUCGGUGCUCCACCUCUGGGAGCUUGGAUCUGUGGUUUUCUGAAAACGGCUGUCAUUGUGGCUGUGAGUGACUGAUUUGAGGCCAGUCACAUAUAUGUGGGAAGUGCUGUGUGUGUCUUUGACACGUUCCUCCACAGCAUGUCUUGUACAAACCAAGUCCUGCGCACUAGAAGCCUGGAGGACCAACCUAUUUCUACAUACAUUUUCAAGCCUAGUCCUCAAGACCAUGUGCAUAGCACCACACCAAGCUCUGGACAAUCAGGAGAGAUGAUGUACACCCCUGGUCCAGCUGCUCAGAUGGUAUUUGUGAGUCGCCCAUCUUUUGGUGAUGCUGCUAUUCUCCUCAGUAACAACACUGAGCUAGCCCACAUUCAGUGGUCCCACCUGCUUGAUCCUUCUUCUUCUCCUUCAGCCACGUCUUUAUUCUCUUAUCUCACUUCAGCAGAUGAAAAAAUCAAAACCCAGGAAAGACAGCUGACUGUUGGAAGGUAAAGUUUCCACGUGGCUCUUGGUUCUCUAUAGAAUCUGAUCUUUUGGAGACAGAGGAGGAUCUGGGUUUGAGUCUCAAAUUGAAGCCAGCCAGGUUUGGUGUUUCUAUCUGCCCACGAUCCUGGGCUAAGCAUGGCUGUGAAUUUCUCCUAAAGUUGAGCAAAAGAAACCCAACUGAAGGACUGCAUGCCGGUUUCGUUGGUAACAGAGUGUAAAGCACUCUCCUUUCCCCUUGCAUUGUAGAAGAUUCAUAUUUGUAUGAAGUUUUGGGUUUAUUUGGAAUGAUCAAAACUGCCAAAGAACAAAGCAAUUAUAAACACUUACUUACUUGACACGCUAGGAUUUACUUCAGAAAGACGGCCAGCCUGUGAGCAGUUCUUGUGAAGGGUCCAAGAGAGUGUCCUGACAGAACCAGGCAUCGGGGCCAGCUUUUAAGGUUUGGGCUGUUGGGUAGGGGUAGCCUGCCUGCUUUUCAGGUCUGCAGGCCCCCACUUGUUCCAGAUACUAUGAUAUGACUUGUUCUGCUUUAGUCUUUCCUGGUGCCAAGGCAUACAUUAUGCAUUUUCUCCUUCCAUAAAACCAGGGAGCAUUCUCUCUUUCUUUGUGCAGAAUUGGGUCAACUAACCCUUUUAGUCCCCUUGAACUUUCCCUCUUAAUCUUUAUGAGUCAUUCCUUUUCUGCCAACAUUUUACCUUGGCAUCCGAUAGGUUCUAUUCUGAGCCCUCAGCUUGAGUGACUUUGCCUUCUUUCAUGGGUUUAACCAUGAGUGGCAUGGUGAUGACUUUCAAAUCUUACAUAGCCCUGGUGUUAAACUCAUAUAUGUUUAACGCAGAUCAACACAGAUGUUGUCAAACUCAACUCGUCUCUUUUGACUUCUUUCCCAUGAACACCAACUCUUUUUCUUAUUAACACUUUCAGCAAGGAGUUUCUGUAGUGGAACAGUGUGUUAAGGAUCCAGCUUGUCUCUGUGGAGGUGCUGGUUCAAUCCUUGGCCUGGUGCACUGGUUAAGAAACCUGUAUUGCUGCAGCUGUGGUGCAGGUGGAUUGGAUCAGGGAGCUUCCAUAUGCUGUGGUGUGGCCAAAAAAGGAAAAAAAAAUCUCAGCCAAGAGCACCUCACCCCUCUAAUCACCCCCAUGAAGCACAACCCUGACCUCCAACCUCUUACCACAUGGCUGCCGAUUUUACUUUCUAGAAUUUUUUUUUUUUUUUUAUACUAUAACUUAAAGUAUGUUAAGAGCUGAUGGAAAGGGUGUGGAAGUAAGGGUGAGACUGGAAAGAAAGGAGAGGGUAUGGAGAGCAUUGCAGAGAAAGUAGAGUAAGGCUCUUUCAUGGUAUGUGAGGAGAGACUGGCCACUGAUGCAAAGCCAUUUGGUUUUGCAAAGUAGAGAGAGAUCCAUUAGUGGGUGUUAAGAUGAAGGCAAUUCAUACCCUGAGGAUGAGAGAGCUGGAGGUUUGAGAAGGUUAGGGUAGGCUUGGAAUACUGGACAAGCUGUGAGCACUGCUGAGGGCUUGCUGAGCUCUGCUUAAUGGAGCUGCAUAGGAACCAUCUGUUCUGAGAAGUUUGUUCUCCAGUGAGGGAAAUAAAUUGCCAUCUCUGAGAUCGCCGGUGGAAGCAUCCAACUCCACACCGGCAGGCUGCUUUUCUUCCAGCUUGUUUGUUAAGAGUCCCCACAGCAGCUGUUCUUAAACCUUACCAGGUGCCUCUGGUACUCUGACCCCCAUUUUUUUCCUUCUCCAUCCAUUAUACUCCUUUUUUUCCCCUGGAAGUUUGAUUUUAAAAUAUUUAAAUUAUUAUUUUUAUUAUAAAUUACUCCAUUUAUUUAAAUUUAAAAAAUCAAAACAGUUUACUCAUUUCUCCCACUUCCCACUCCUGCCUCUGCAACCACCAAUAUGUUCUCUAUCUAUGGGCUUGUUUUUCAUUCGUGUGUUUGUUUUUUUAGAUUCCAGAUAUAGAAGAGGUCCUAUGAUGUUUAUCUUUCUCUGACUUAUGUUACUUAUCAUAAUGCUGUUAAGGUCCAUCCAUGUUGCUGCAAAUCCAAGUUUCAUUCUUUUUUAUGAAUGAAUAACAGUCCAUUGUAUGUAUCAGUUUAUUUAUUCACUUAUCCACUGAUGGACAAUUGUUUCCAUAUCCUGGCUAUUGUAAAUAAUGUUGCAAUGAACAUGAGGGUGAAUAUCUUUUCAAGUUAGUGUUUUUGUUCUCUUUGGAUAAAUACCCAGGAGUGGAAUUGCUGGAUCAUAUGGAAGUUCUACUUUUAAUUUUUUGAGGACCCUCCAUACUGUUUACCAUAGUGGUUGCACCAAUUUACAUUUCGAUCAACAGUACACAAGGAUUUUCUUUUCUCUGUAUAUUCACCAACACUUGUUAUUUUUUGUCAUUUUAAUGAUAGGCAUUCUAACAAGUAUAAAGUGAUAUCUCAGUGUGGUUUCGAUUUGAAUUUCCCUGAUGAUUAGUAAUGUCGAGUAUCUUUUCAGGUACCAGUUAACCAUCUGUGUGUUUUCUCGGACAUGUCUAUUCAGACUCCUUUCUUCACUUCCUCCCUUUCCAAAUUAGAAGCCACAGCCCAACAUUUUAAACUCUCUCAAAAAUAACCUACACUUCCCUACCCUUUGAAAAUAUGUCUCAAAUUCUUGGGAAAAACUCCAUCUUUGUAUGGAUCCAUUCAUCUACCUUCACCAUGUCUGUUGAGUUUUACUGGGGAAGAAACACAGCAGGGCAGUAGUAGUUGGGUAAAAGCAGGAUCGUGGUCAUUAUAUCAUUAAGCCCUGUUUCUUUUGGGAAGUCGUAUUUCAGUUACCUGCAUUCAGAUAAAGCCAUGGACCAUGAUAGGAAAAGCACCAUGUAUGUUUGUGUAAUACACAAAACACACACACAAACACACACUCCAUGUAUAUCAGGUUUAUGUGCGUGCAAUAGAAUUCAACCUUUUCAGCAAACAGUUCUAUGCACAGACUUGUGUAACAACCACCAUAAUCACAAUAUAGAAUAUUUUCAUCACCUUUCAAAUGUCCUUCAUACUUCCUCUUUGAAGUCAAUCCCAAACCCCUGACAACUACUGAUCUGUUUUCUGUACCUGUAGUUUGGUUUUAUCUAGAAUGUCCAUAAACGGAAUCAUACAGUAUGGACCCUUUGAGGCUUGGUUUCUUUCACUUACCAUAAUACAAGUGAGAUAGAUCCAUGUUGUGGUUGCAUGGAUCAGUAGCUCUUUCAUUUUUUAUUGCUGAGUAGUAUUCCUUUGUAUGCAUGAACCUAUAACAAUUUUCCAUUCAUGAGUUGAAGGAUAUAUAGGUUGUUUCGUUUUUGGUGAUUAUGAAUAAAGCUGCUGUAAACAUUCAUGUUACUGUAAGUUUUCUUUUCUCUUUAGUAAAUUACUAAAACUGACAUUGCUGGGACAUAUGGUAGGUGUAUGUGUGAAUGUAUAAGAAACUGCUAAAUAGAAUGUGAGAUGCUCUGUGUUCUUGUCAGCACUUAGUAGCGUCAGCUUUUAAAAUUUUAUCCACUCUAACAUGUGUAUUGUGGUAAUACACUAUAGGUUUUUUUUUGUUUGUUUGUUUGUUUUGUUCUUUUUUGUUGUUGACUUUUUUUUUUUUCUUUUUAGGUCUGCACUCGUGGCAUAUGGAGUUUCCCAGGCUAGGGGUCGAACUGGAGCUACAGCUGCCAGCCACAGCCACAGCAACACUGGAUCUGAGCCACAUCUGUGACCUACACCACAGCUCAUGGCAACGCUGGAUCCUUAACCCACUGAGCAAGGCCAGGGAUCAAACCUGCAACCUCAUAGUUCCUAAUCAGAUUUGUUUCCACUGUGCACAAUGGGAACUCCCACACUGUAAUGUAGUUUUAAUUUUACACUUUCUGUUGACUAAUGAUGUUCUUUUAAUGAGCUUAUAUAACAUCCUCCAAAAGACAUUUAUUGGUGAAAUGUGUGCUCAAUAUUUUGCCCACUUAAAAAAGUGGGUUAUGUCCUUCAAAUUGUGUUUUGAGAGUUUAAAAAUAUAUAUCUGGAUACAAAUCCCUUAUCAAAUAUAUAAUUUAAAAAUACUUUCUCCCAGUCUGUGAUAUGCUUUCUCAUUUUCUUAACAGAGUCUUGUGAAAACCAAAGUUUUAAACUUUGGCAAAGUCCACAAUUUACCAAUUUUUUUCCUUUAUAGAUCAUGCUUUUUGUAUUAUAAGAAUUCUUUGCUUAACCCAAAAUUAUAUGGAUUUUCCCCUAUGUUUUCCCAAAUAAAUUUAAAAAUUUACGUUUCACAUU